rnacentral:lncRNA from 1 species
CUGCACUUUGUCGGUGGCACCAGCACAGAGGCAAAACCACAGCGUUCUCCUUGUGGUUCAAAUUGGAGCAGGGACGUGGCAAAGCAGGAGAGAGGGGAUGGACCCUCCCCAGCUCCUGAUUUCUGUGUCAGGAUCAGAGAGGACCAUCCUGCUGCUGGCUCUGUCCCCACAGUCCCUGAGGCUCCAUGGCCAAGGUGAUUCCUCAGGUUGAUAUUCCCAACCCAGGCAAGAAUUUCCAGCCAUUUACCAGCAUGGAAAUGGAUGAACAUCACGUGGCAGAGGUGCAGACUGAUCCUGAGGAUCAUGAAAUCCCUUUUCCAUCCCUCUCUCUGUUCCCACUGCAUGGUGAGAUGCUUGUGCCCUUCCUCCAGCAGGAGCUGCCUCGUCCUCUCUGUAUCACCAGCCUAGGAGUGUUUGGUACCAGUCUCUUGGCAAAAGAGCCUGAGGAAUGGAAGGGUAAAGAAAUAUGACCCAGCUGCUAUGCACAAUGAGGUUUGUAAGUCCUUGUAUGGUAUAAAUAAGCAUAUUACACAGUUAUUAGAAAUUUGGCACUGUCGCUGUUUAGAAGCAAGGCUCUGAUGCUGUGUAAUUCCUCCCGAGUUCAUGCAUAACUCAGUAUUAGCCUUCCAUUCUUCCAGCCUUGUUACCGGCCAAAUUCGGCAACUUUUUCUCAGUACUCAUCCAUUCAAACCCUUCUCAGCUGUGUAAACCGGUGAGUUUCCUCUCAAGUCAGUAAAUCUGUGCCAGCCCACGCGGUCGAGGCUCGGUCCUGACUUUCCCCCGCCUCGCACGGGGCUUAGAGCCGCCGCCGUCGGGUCCCGUCGGGUGCGGGCUCGGGAUUCGCUGCUCCCCUCGUCUCCGUCGUGCUUGGCAGCUUUUCUCGGGGGGAAGAGAAGCAGGUUAUCUUCGGGGCAAGAAGAGCCACGGAAAGGGGCAGCGACUGGAAGGAAGAGCGCUGGAGCAUCCCGCGGGACGGAUCCCACUCGGGUUUCCCCGGCCCGCGGACUGAGUGUAACUUCGGAGAAAAGCGACAGCGAACUUUUAUUAAUCGCCGGUGUUCAGGGCCAAGGCAUGAGUGAGCUCGGUGACAGUGAUGAGUGGUUUGGAGCGCUGGUCCCUGAAAGCGGGGCUUAUCCUCCCACUGCUCCCUUGGCUCGGCGUUGAUGAGCCGUGAAUAGGAGCCACCCUGCCGUCGGGGAUCC